GGAGGAUCCAAGCGUUAUCCGGAAUCAUUGGGUUUAAAGGGUCCGUAGGCGGUCUUAUAAGUCAGUGGUGAAAGCCCAUCGCUUAACGAUGGAACGGCCAUUGAUACUGUAGGACUUGAAUUAGUGGGAAGUAACUAGAAUAUGUAGUGUAGCGGUGAAAUGCUUAGAUAUUACAUGGAAUACCAAUUGCGAAGGCAGGUUACUAUCACUAUAUUGACGCUGAUGGACGAAAGCGUGGGGAGCGAACAGGAUUAGAUACCCUGGUAGUCCACGCCGUAAACGAUGGAUACUAGCUGUUCGGAGCAAUCUGAGUGGCUAAGCGAAAGUGAUAAGUAUCCCACCUGGGGAGUACGUUCGCAAGAAUGAA
rnacentral:rRNA from 1 species